GAGAGCCACGUGCGGGAGAACCGUACGCACGGUUCGGAGUUAGGGGCGGGUAAAACCACCCCUACCCCUAU
rnacentral:ncRNA from 1 species